rnacentral:rRNA from 1 species
GAUGAACGCUGGCGGCGUGCCUAAUACAUGCAAGUCGAGCGAACAGACGCGGAGCUUGCUCCUCUGACGUUAGCGGCGGACGGGUGAGUAACACGUGGAUAACCUACCUGUAAGACUGGGAUAACUUCGGGAAACCGGAGCUAAUACCGGAGAAUAUAUUGAACCGCAUGGGUCAAUAGUGAGAGUCGGUUUUGGUGGCACUUCUAGAUGGUUCCGAGCCGUAUUAGGUAGUUGGUAAGGUAAAGGGUUACCAAGGCAACUAUGCGUAGACGAGCUGAGAGGCGGAUCGGCGACCUGGGAGCGGGGACACGGACCAGGCUCCUACGGGACGGAGCAGUAGCGAAUGGGACGCAACGGUCGAAAGUUUGACGGAGCAACGCCGCGUGAGAGAUGAAGGUCUUCGGAUCGUAAAACUGUGUUAUUAGUGAAGAACAAAUGUGUAAGUAACUAUGGACGUCUUGACGGUACCGAAUCAGAAAGCACCGGCUAACUACGUG